GACGAACGCUGGCGGCGUGCUUAACACAUGCAAGUCGAACGGAAAGGCCUCUUUCGGGGGGUACUCGAGUGGCGAACGGGUGAGUAACACGUGAGUAACCUGCCUUUGACUUUGGGAUAACUUCAGGAAACUGGGGCUAAUACCGGCUAGGAGCUCCUGCUGCAUGGUGGGGGUUGGAAAGUUUCGGCGGUUGGGGAUGGCUUCGCGGCUUAUCAGCUUGUUGGUGGGGUAGUGGCUUACCAAGGCUUUGCCGGGUAGCCGGCCAGAGGGAGUGACAGGCCACAUUGAGACUGAGGUGAGGCACAGACACCUACGGGAGGGAGCAGUGGGGAAUAUUGCACGAUGAGUGGAGGGCGGGUGCAGCAGCGCCGUGGGCGGGAAGACGGCCUUCGGGUUGAAAACCGAAUUCGCUAAUGACGAAGCUUUGUGUGACGGUAGUGGGUAAGGAAGCACCGGCUAACUACGUG
rnacentral:rRNA from 1 species